rnacentral:tRNA from 1 species
AAAAAGAUAAGCUAAGCUUAAGCUAGCGGGCUCAUACCCCGACAAUGAAUAUACUUUCUCUUUUUA